CCUACGGGAGGCAGCAGUGGGGAAUUUUGGACAAUGGGCGAAAGCCUGAUCCAGCCAUUCCGCGUGCAGGACGAAGGCCUUCGGGUUGUAAACUGCUUUUGUACGGAACGAAGAAGCUCUUACUAAUACUAGGAGUUCAUGACGGUACCGUAAGAAUAAGCACCGGCUAACUACGUGCCAGCAGCCGCGGUAAUACGUAGGGUGCGAGCGUUAAUCGGAAUUACUGGGCGUAAAGCGUGCGCAGGCGGUUAUAUAAGACAGAUGUGAAAUCCCCGGGCUCAACCUGGGAACUGCAUUUGUGACUGUAUAGCUAGAGUACGGUAGAGGGGGAUGGAAUUCCGCGUGUAGCAGUGAAAUGCGUAGAUAUGCGGAGGAACACCGAUGGCGAAGGCAAUCCCCUGGACCUGUACUGACGCUCAUGCACGAAAGCGUGGGGAGCAAACAGGAUUAGAUACCCUGGUAGUCCACGCCCUAAACGAUGUCAACUGGUUGUUGGGUCUUUUGCUGUACUCAGUAACGAAGACUACGCGUGAGUAGACCGCCGNGGGAGGUACGGUCCGGCGAGUUAGUUAACGUACGAAAGAAGUUAGNGGCGNGAGAGNGCGAGGACGACGACGAGGGAGGAGG
rnacentral:rRNA from 1 species